CCUACGGGUGGCUGCAGUGGGGAAUAUUGCACAAUGGGGGAAACCCUGAUGCAGCGACGCCGCGUGUGGGAAGACGGUCCUCUGGAUUGUAAACCACUGUCCCAAGGGACGAAAAUGACGUAACUUGGUGAGGAGGCCCCGGCGAACUAGGUGCCAGCAGCAGCGGUAAUACUUAGGGAGCGAGGGUUGUCGGGAAUUCCGGGGUGUAAAGGGAGCGUAGGGGGGACUGCAAGUUGAGGGACAAGUCUGCCGGUGAACCCCGGAGCCGCACUCAAAACUGGAGUGCUGGAGUGCAGGAGAGGCAGGCGGAAUUCCUAGUGUAGCGGUGAAAUGCGUAGAUAUGAGGAGGAACACCAGUGGCGAAGGCGGCCUGCUGGGCUUUUACUGACGCUGAGGCUCGAAAGUGUGGGGAGCAAACAGGAUUAGAUACCCGGGUAGUC
rnacentral:rRNA from 1 species